CAAUAGCGUAUAUUAAAGUUGUUGCGGUUAAAAAGCUCGUAGUUGGAUUUCUGCCGAGGACGACCGGUCCGCCCUCUGGGUGUGUAUCUGGUUUGGCCUGGGCAUCUUCUUGGAGAACGUAGCUGCACUUGACUGUGUGGUGCGGUGUCCAGGACUUUUACUUUGAGGAAAUUAGAGUGUUUCAAGCAGGCACACGCCUUGAAUACAUUAGCAUGGAAUAAUAAGAUAGGACCUCGGUUCUAUUUUGUUGGUUUCUAGAGUCGCCGUAAUGAUUAAUAGGGAUAGUUGGGGGCAUUAGUAUUCAGUUGCUAGAGGUGAAAUUCUUGGAUUUACUGAAGACUAACUACUGCGAAAGCAUUUGCCAAGGAUGUUUUCAUUAA
rnacentral:rRNA from 1 species